GGACUGUGGCUCAGCGGUAGACCGCUCACCUCGCAUGGGUGGGACCCGGGUUCGAUCCUCAGUACCA
rnacentral:tRNA from 1 species